GCCCAUAUUAGGCUCGAAGAAUGAGCGUUGCCCUCCGAAGGCAAAGGUCACACGUUCGAAUCGUGUCAGGUGCG
rnacentral:tRNA from 1 species